CACUUUUAAAUUAUAAUUAAUCACAACUGUUCCGUGAUGAUACAAAACAUUUCAUGAAGAGAGGUGAAACAACCUCCUGUUCUAUCAUUGAAAUACUACAAAAUUCAAAUGGUCUCUACUUAAAAGUUUGACACAUUCUUGCAGGCUGCGACUCCAUUAAAGAACUCUUCCCUUCCUUUCCAAAGUGUUUGGAUGGCAAAGAUGUCUAAUGAAAAUAACCGAGAACUUGGCCACCCACAGUCCGCCUGAGGGCCUCUUCAUGAUCCAAAACACCAUCCGGAGUUGUUAGCACAACAUAGCCCCGCUGCAUUGCAAAAUCAGAAUGAAAAGCACACAAAAUAAGUUCCAAAUAUUAUGUCAUUUAUUGCUUUUUUUUUUUGGAUGAAAAAUGUUGGAUUCAUAAACAUACAUACUACACAACCAUUUUAUACAAAGUGCCAAAUAACCAAAGUGUUUUUGUAUGGUCUAUUUUUCUUUAACUCAAUGCAUGAAUUAUUUCAUUAUUAUAAUUUUUUCUUCUAAUUAAUAUUUGAAAAGUAUUAUUCUUUAGAAAAUAUUAAUCUUAAUCAGUAUUGUAGGCAUCAUAUUGGAUGGGUGCUAAUGAUGGUGAAUGAAAUGAAGAUCUUCUCUUGGAGCUUGUGUUGGAUGAUAAUAUGAAAUAUAAUUGUUAUUUUUAGAUACUAGUUUGUGGGUUUUUUCUAAUAGAUUUUUGUAUUUUAUACUUAAAUUCAAGAAUUUGUGUUGGAUUAAUGUUGAAAUUUAAUUUUUCAUUUACAUUGGUUAAAUUUAAAAUGGAUGAGGUGCCAUGGUAUUCAAAAACAUUGGUUUGCUGGUGGUGUAGAUUCUUGUUCUUUUGACCCGCUUUUGUCAUGCGCAUACUCUACUGUUCGGGACAGAAGGUGCAUUUUUUGCAACUAAGCCAUGGAUGAUUCCUUUGGUUUAUCUUUUAAUUAUAUUCUGCCAGGAUUAGUAUACAGUAAAGAAGAAGUUUUAAGUUUGAAGAAAAGAAACAAAAAUGCAUUCGGUCUCUACAGAACCUGAGGAUUGUCUAUGGGCAGAGUAGAAGUUCCUGUUACGUCCAAGGUGGAUGGAUGCUUGUUAUUUCCUCUGGCGUAGGCUGCCUGAAGAUGAUUAUCUCCCCGGAUCAUUGAACAAUCUUCAGUUUUCAAGCAUUCUUGUAAAACUGAUGUUCAAUUUAAUAGAUAUGUUUUGCUGUCAGCAAUUUUGUUUCGCGAUUGCUACAUUCUUAUAUCUGUUUUCGGAAAUUAACAGUGGUUUUCUAGCAUGAAGCCUUUUACAUUAUGAACUUUCUUAUAUGAUAGUAUCUACUUAAACAAUGUGCUAUGAUCAAAUUUCAUAGUCAUUGGCACAGAAAACUAUGAGCUAAUAAAUUCCUUCUCAGUUUUCAUCGUCAUUCUUGCCAAAGUUUCAUAGGCCUUCAAUUUUCAUUAUUUUUAUUUGGAAGAAAGCUCUUAGGAACUGCCUUUUUGAGGUUAUAUACUCUUGUAGCAUCUACAUUGAACUAUCUGGAAAAUUUAACUAUUGUGCAUAUUAGUUUCUGCUGCUGGCAUUUGUAGUUGAAACAGUGCUGCACUUUUAAAUUAUAAUUAAUCACAACUGUUCCGUGAUGAUACAAAACAUUUCAUGAAGAGAGGUGAAACAACCUCCUGUUCUAUCAUUGAAAUACUACAAAAUUCAAAUGGUCUCUACUUAAAAGUUUGACACAUUCUUGCAGGCUGCGACUCCAUUAAAGAACUCUUCCCUUCCUUUCCAAAGUGUUUGGAUGGCAAAGAUGUCUAAUGAAAAUAACCGAG
rnacentral:lncRNA from 1 species